rnacentral:tRNA from 1 species
GUUCCAUUAGCUCAGUUGGCAGAGCAUUGGAUUUUUAAUCCAAGUGUCCGCAGUUCGAGUCUGCGAUGGAACACCA